CAUGAAAACAUCUCCAGCUCACCAUCUGCUGCUCUCAGGAAGAUGGUGACUGCAGAGAAAGAGAAGAGGAGAACAUAAACACCACUUAAGCAAUGGCAAAUCAUUGAACAGGCUCCUUACAGUAUGUGGAGGCUCCAAAACUUUCUGCAAUAAAGAUUUCUGCCAACUUGCCAGGAACAGAAACGCAUAAAGUGGAUCAGAGUGCUGCUGCCUUUUUGUGGCUACAGUCUCAUGGCUACUGAUCCUUUCAGAAACAGCACAAC